AGAAGUAGCAGCCCUCCUGGGCGGGCCCCUCUGCCCCCGCCCCGUGCUCUGCUGAGGUUGUAAAUAAUCGGGGCUUCCGUGGACGUGGGUCGGGGAACCUGGAGUGUCGCGGGGUGCGUGUGCCUCCGAACCCCUCCGGCCCCUGUGCCCCGGGACGCACUGGCUUUCUUCUCCCGCUGGUCCCGCGACGCCAGGACAGGGGAUGACUGCAUCAUAAAAGCUUGCACCGUUGUGUUCAGCCUUUGGCCUCUCCUUUCCCGCUAAAUUUCUCUUUGAAUCCGGCUGGAGAAAGAUCUCUGGGUUACACAGUAAAUCUGCAAGGACUUCUUGCCUGGUGAAUUGCACAGAAAAUGAAAGUGAUCAUCAGUGGCUGUGGCAAGACUGAAGGAACCAUGCCAGAACUUCUGAGGGAAGGAAGAGUGUUUGGGACUGAAAAAUCCUUGUCUGGAUCUAGUCCUCAGCCACUCAGAAGCUGGCAUGCCAUGACUCAAAGAGCUGCCAGCCUGGAAUGAAGACAGCGCCCCGAAACUCCCACCUGAAGAGCCGGUGCUUGGAAAAUGCUGCCAGUCUGCAGGAAAAAAAGUUGUUGCUGCUGCUGUCUGCGACCAAGAGGACACUUUAUUUCUUGAAACAACUGGGGGCAAACUGACUCCCAGAUAAGACUUCAGGCCCUACCCACAUGAGAAACCAGCCCUGGGAGGUUCCAUGCACAAGAAUACAGGACAAUGAGCAGCUUUGCUCACCUCAUGCAACCUCCAGGGAUUUCAGGUUCCUUUUCUUGGAGGAAGAAAGUGAAGUGACAUGGGGAUUCACUAGGAACAAUGUCUGUCUUACUGUGUUUCAUGGAACCUGGAGGUUCCUUAGAGACUCCUCAGAAGCAGACAUAGUGGUCAGAGUAAAAGCUUAAGAGUAAGCUGUGCCUCUCCCUCCCCAGGCCCCAUCCCAACCACAGAAGUUCCACCUGCAUCAGUUUUAUAUACCAGACCACUGCAUGAAACUACAUUUUGACAGAGGAUUAUUCUUUAAAAAUAUAUAAAUCUACCAAACUAGGCCAUAUCAAGUCCUGGUCCAUUCUCUAUUAGUGCAGUAAACAAUUCUACCAAGGAGAAAACAGGUCUGAAAGUACUUUGCAAACUGUAGAAGGGCAUGCAAAUUCUAGGGGCUGUAAUUAGGAUUAUUCUCCCCAGCAGCGGGGAGUAUUUUGUUUGCCUUCUUCCCGAUAGUUUGGUGAGGGACUGAAGUUGUUUGCCCCCAUACCACAAAUGACUCAUUUCAAAUAACAGACCUGGUGACUUACUGAGUCAAGGCUCACCUUUGG